UUCUGCUGAAUGAGAUUUGGUGCUUUAACGUUUCCACUUGGGGAUGACAUUAAAAGCUACUCUACCUCUCUGUCUGCAGAGUGAGAACAUUUCAUUUGUAUGCUAUCCUCUCUUUCAAGUACAAACAGCUCACAUUUCCAGAAGAACAGGCUUUGUUACCUUUCAUUUAAACCAUGGAGAAAGAAUGCUGGAAACUACUGCUUUCAAUUGUACACAGGGAAAUAAUGGUGGACUGAAGACAGCUCAAUGACAAUGGAGCCACUGACCAUGACAGAAUGAGAAUCUGGUAAAU